GGCAGCUUGGCCGAGUGGUCCAAGGCGGCGCAUUUAAGGUCUUCUUCCUUAUCUCUGCGCUCUCGAAAGAGGCGCGGGUUCGAACCCCGCAGCUGCUA